ACGGGUGAGUAACACGUAGGUGACCUACCUUAUAGCUUGGGACAACCCGGAGAAAUUCGGGCUAAUACCAGAUGUGAACAACAAAUUUAAAAGUAGUUGUUGAAAGGAUGCCUCUAUACUAUGCAUUCACUAUUAGAUGGGCCUGCGGGACAUUAGCUUGAUGGUGGGGUAAAAGCCUACCUUGGCAACGAUGUCUAGCGGAAUUGAGAGAUUGAUCCGUCACACUGGAACUGAGACACGGUCCAGACUCC
rnacentral:rRNA from 1 species